AGUCUUUUAAAUGAUGACUUGUAUGAAAGAUUGGAUGAAAUAUAUACUGUCUCUUUUUUAUAAAUAGAAUUUAAUUUUUUAAUUAAAAAGUUAAAAUAUAUUUAAAAGACGAGAAGACCCCGUAGAGUUUAAUAUAAUUAAUUAUUUUAUAUUAUUAUAAAAUAAUUAAUAUAAAAUAAUUAAUUAUAUUUUAUUGGGGUGAUAAAAAAAUAAAAAAAACUUUUUUUUUUCUUAAACAAUAAUAAAUGAUUAUAUGAUCCAAAAUUUUUGAUUAAAAGAAAAAAUUACCUUGGGGAUAACAGCGUAAUUUUUUCUUUUAGUUCAAAUAAAAUAAAGAGUUUGCGACCYCGAUGUURGAKWAAGWUAAAAUUUAAAUGC
rnacentral:rRNA from 1 species